UAAAUUCAAAUCGUAUGAAUCGUAUGAAUAAUAUUGGCGAACAAAAAAGUAUCGCAUUAUGUCGUCGGACAAUUGUAAGAUGCUAUAAGAUAGACUAAAAAUGUAUCGAAAAUUUAGCACAAAAGAAAUCAUGAAAUAACUCAGUGCAAUCCCAAUUUAAGAUGCAAACACAUCAAAAGAAAAACACAAUCACACCAUAUCUCCACAUGACACAAAACAAAAACCAACUGCAAUGAUCAACAAAUAAGACACAAAGAGUCACAAGAAAUAAAAAAAAAUCCAUUCGCUGGCAACUACCGACUUAUUAUACUGUAUAAU
rnacentral:lncRNA from 1 species